rnacentral:rRNA from 1 species
AGUGAACGCUGGCGGUAGGCCUAACACAUGCAAGUCGAACGGCAGCACAGUAAGAGCUUGCUCUUACGGGUGGCGAGUGGCGGACGGGUGAGGAAUACAUCGGAAUCUACUUUUUCGUGGGGGAUAACGUAGGGAAACUUACGCUAAUACCGCAUACGACCUACGGGUGAAAGCAGGGGAUCUUCGGACCUUGCGCGAUUGAAUGAGCCGAUGUCGGAUUAGCUAGUUGGCGGGGUAAAGGCCCACCAAGGCGACGAUCCGUAGCUGGUCUGAGAGGAUGGUCACCGCCACUGGAGCAGAGACACGGGCCAGAGUCCUGCGGGAGGGGCCAGAGGGGGAAAUUGGGCAAUAGGGGCGAACCUGGUCCAGCCCUACCGCGUGGGUGAAAAAAACGCUCGGGGUGUGAAGCCCUUUUUUGGGGGGAAAAAAGCAGCAGGGUGUUACCCCGCGGUUCUGACGGUACCCAAAAAAUAAGCACCGGCUAACUUCGUG